rnacentral:rRNA from 1 species
GCAAUACUGGGCGGCGACCGGCAAACGGGUGCGGAACACGUACACAACCUUCCGAGAAGUGGGGAAUAGCCCAGAGAAAUUUGGAUUAAUACCCCGUAACAUAACGAUGUGGCAUCACAUUGUUAUUAUAGCUUCGGCGCUUCUUGAUGGGUGUGCGGCUGAUUAGAUAGUUGGCGGGGUAACGGCCCACCAAGUCUACGAUCAGUAGCUGAUGUGAGAGCAUGAUCAGCCACACGGGCACUGAGACACGGGCCCGACUCCUACGGGAGGCAGCAGUAAGGAAUAUUGGUCAAUGGACGCAAGUCUGAACCAGCCAUGCCGCGUGAAGGAUUAAGGUCCUCUGGAUUGUAAACUUCUUUUAUCUGGGACGAAAAAAGGCGAUUCUUCGUCACUUGACGGUACCAGAUGAAUAAGCACCGGCUAACUCCGUGCCAGCAGCCGCGGUAAUACGGAGGGUGCAAGCGUUAUCCGGAUUCACUGGGUUUAAAGGGUGCGUAGGCGGGCAGGUAAGUCAGUGGUGAAAUCCUAGAGCUUAACUCUAGAACUGCCAUUGAUACUAUCUGUCUUGAAUAUUGUGGAGGUAAGCGGAAUAUGUCAUGUAGCGGUGAAAUGCUUAGAUAUGACAUAGAACACCUAUUGCGAAGGCAGCUUACUACGCAUAUAUUGACGCUGAGGCACGAAAGCGUGGGGAUCAAACAGGAUUAGAUACNNNNNUAGUC